rnacentral:rRNA from 1 species
UACAGAGGUCCCAAGCGUUGUUCGGAUUCACUGGGCGUAAAGGGUGCGUAGGUGGCAGGGUAAGUUUGAUGUGAAAUCUCCGAGCUUAACUCGGAAACUGCAUUGAAUACUAUCCUGCUCGAGGGUUGGAAGGGGGACUGGAAUUCUCGGUGUAGCAGUGAAAUGCGUAGAUAUCGAGAGGAACACCAGUGGCGAAGGCGAGUCCCUGGACAACACCUGACACUGAGGCACGAAAGCUAGGGGAGCAAGCAGG